GUGAGGAAUAUUGCGCAAUGGAGGCAACUCUGACGCAGCCAUGCCGCGUGCAGGAAGAAGGCGCUACGCGUUGUAAACUGCUUUUAACCGGGAAGAAACCCCAGGACGUGUCCUGGGUUGACGGUACCGGAGGAAUAAGCACCGGCUAACUUCGUGCCAGCAGCCGCGGUAAUACGAAGGGUGCAAGCGUUAUCCGGAUUCAUUGGGUUUAAAGGGUGCGUAGGCGGAGCGUUAAGUCAGUGGUGAAAUCCUGCAGCUUAACUGUAGACUUGGCAUUGAUACUGGCGCUCUUGAGUGCGCUUGAAGUGGGCGGAAUGUGCCGUGUAGCGGUGAAAUGCUUAGAUAUGGCACAGAACACCAAUUGCGAAGGCAGCUCACUAAGGCGAUACUGACGCUGAGGCACGAAAGCGUGGGGAUCGAACAGGAUUAGAAACCCUGGUAGUCC
rnacentral:rRNA from 1 species